UACAGAGGGGCAAGCGUUGUUCGGAAUUACUGGGCGUAAAGGGCGCGUAGGCGGCCCGCUAAGUCGAACGUGAAAUCCCCGAGCUCAACUCGGGAACUGCGUCCGAUACUGGUGGGCUUGAAUCCGGGAGAGGGAUGCGGAAUUCCAGGUGAUAGCGGUGAAAUGCGUAGAUAUCUGGAGGAACACCGGUGGCGAAGGCGGCAUCCUGGACCGGCAUUGACGCUGAGGCGCGAAAGCUAGGGGAGCAAACGGGG
rnacentral:rRNA from 1 species